UAUUAGGGCCACUUGGAGAAAAUAUUUUUUUCUAAAUUCCGAGAUUAAAAGUCGGAAAUUUCAAGAAAAAACUUGAAAUUCCGAGAUUAAAAGUCGAAAUCUUCAAGAAAAAAAGUCGAAAUCUUCGAGAUUAAAAGUCGAAAUCUUCGAGAUUAAAAGUCGAAAUUUUCGAGAUUAAAAGUCGAAAUUUUUGAGAAAAAAAGUCGAAAUUAUGACAUACAAAGAACGCAUGCUCUAACUGCUGCCAUGGCAACGAAUGGCCACCGGAAAGGGAAGUCGUGGAAAGUGGCUGCCAACCGGCCUGGCCCUGAACAUGUGAACUUAGCCACGUUGACUCUGAAUGCAAGACACAAGGGAUGCAGUUGAAAGGAAGAAGUUGAUGGGGUUGUAUUGACUUGGAAUGACCACAGAGUCCAUCAAGUCCACAACUCUCGUUCACCUCAUGGACGUCCCUCCAUAUUACAUGCAGUCCCUCAGCUGUACGGAGGCAGAGACGAUUUGCAGAAUGUGGACCUGGAGAAAGUUGAAGUCUGCCUUGAAGAGUGUAUGUUCAAAGACUUUCCAUGUGAUGAGGAUGUGUUUCACAUUUGUGUGGACCUAAUGUCAGAGCAUAAUCUGUCAUUAACAAACGUAUUUGAAACAGUUAACCUGUAUCUCACACUCAGACAGCUGAUAAACAAUGAUCUUGAUGUAAAUCAUUAAUUUUAUUGGACGCGGUCUUGUCACCUGUUGUAAGGUGAGAUAGUACUGUAUUCAAGCAUCCCGUAACAUCCACAACAAGAUACACAUGAUGUCAAGGUUGCCAUGGUCGUGGACACCUCAACAGGCACAGGCCAUUUCAGAGAUGUCUUUUUGUUUUUUCCUUUGCCCAUUUUAUUCACAAUUUGAAAUAUUGCAGUUUAACUGAUUGCCAAUUAAAAUGUUUUUUUUUACUUGUAAUACCUGCUUUAAAAGAUGUAGCUUCUUAUUUUCACAUCAAAUGUAUUAGCAGUCAAGUUAUUUUGUUCUACCAUUCAACAUUUGCAAAUAUGAAUAAAAAUGCAAAAUCCUAACAA